AGAAAAAUGGCAGAAAAAUAAAAGACGGACAUCAAAGUAUUUUUCAAUACACCAAAACGCAUAGUAAGAACCCUAGUAGCCUAAUAUCUCAAAGACUAGUUGAUAAAAUGUUCAUAAGAAAGAAAUGAAAUUCUAAUGGAAAUGUUUCACAAUGAUGUCAUUAGGCAGAGCAGGCAACAGAUGGCACACAGACAGCAGAGUUCGGGACAGAUAUGCAGGGACAGACUGGCAGAGACAGGGAGUCUCAGGCUACCCUGCUGCCCCUGCUGCUGCCAUGGCAGAGCCCAAAUUAAUGGAUGGAGGACGGGUGGCUGAACAUUUGGGGGUGAGGUCGAAAAGGAUUGUCGGACAACUGCUGGGAAGUUGCAGGAAGGCUCUGACAGCAGAGGAGUGGAUUAUGCUCAAGAAGAAAAAGAAAAAAAACAAAAAGACAAGAUGAAGACAUCCCAUUUCCAAGACUCCCAGAGUCAGACAGAAAGGCUUUAUUAGUGGAUUUGAGAGGGUUGGAAGAGGUGGGUUUGGAUGAGGUGAAUGGGAAGGAGUUAUAUAGAUGGUGUGUCAAGGUUUUAAAUAAAGAUACAUUGAAGAAUAGAAAAGACACUCCUUGGAGGGUAAAACUGGGCCUUGAUGACAAGGUAAAGUCAGCAUGGAGAGCACUGUACAAGCCACCGUUACAAAAGGGUACUGGUGAUAUGCAAUGGAGGAUGUUGCAUGGCAUCACUGCAGUUAAUGCUUUUAUAUCUGUUAUUAACUCAGAUGUUGGAGAUGGAUGUCCUUUUUUUUAAUAUAAGAAACUAUUUUUCACUGCUUUAUGGAGUGUGAGAGGAUAAAACCUCUCUUUGAAAUACUAGAGUCUUUGUUUACAACUGUAGGGAAGAUUUUCAAUAACACCGUUUUUAUUUUGGGGUUUCAAUGUAGUAAGCAACAGAAAAUAAACUGUUAUUUUAUUUUGGGACAAGCUAAGAUGUCAAUUUGUCUGAGUAGGAAACAUAAAAUAGACAUGGCAUAUGGGCAGGAUGUAAUGUAAUGUUUUUAAAAGGAUUAGUCAAAGCCAGAGUAAAAGUGGAUUUUGAGUUCAUCUCGGCUGUAAAACAUCUCCCAUUGUUUGAGGAGAAGUGGGCUUAUGAAGGAGCGAUUUGUUUUGUGGAGGAGGGGAAACUAUUUAUUGUUGAUGAAACCAGUUGAAUGCAAAUGAUCUUUUAUUUUAAUUGAAUUAAUUUCUUUUUUUAUAUGUUUCUUUAAGAACAACACAGUUGUUGUGUAAUUUCUGAAAAGGCAGUGUGGCAAUACUUGUUACAGUUUUUCUCAAUUGUUUACACACAAAUACUGGUACUUGAGACACAAUGACCACAACAUGUAACUCAUGCACCAACCCCCUGAACCAAUUCUGCUAAACUACAAGCACAAUUCCUGCUUUACACUCAAAUUGCAGUUCUAAAACACACUUUUUUUCAAAACACUACACACAAUUCUUUGCAUUUGGCACAAUUUUCAUGCAGAAAAUCUCUUGUUUUCACAAUGAACACACUGCCAUUCAAAUAUGCACACUGACUCAUCACAUGGGCAAACACCCGUCACAUAGUUUUACAAUUAGCAAUCAGAGCUUUAGCAUAAAAUGGCAACAGGUGAGCUCUUCUGUUUUGGAGCAAUGGAUGCCAACAUUGGAAACAGAGGCAGAGCCAGAGGAGUGAGAGUAAGAGGAGGAGGACGGGGAGGAUGAGGACGAGGACGAGGAAGGCCAAGGACCGUAAUCUCUGAUGAGAUCCGAGCCACUUUGGUUGAUCAUGUGGUCAAACAUGGUCUAACAAUGAGGGAGGCUGGACAAAGAGUACAGCCAAAUUUGAGCAGGUACACUGUAGCAUCCAUCAUCCGGACAUUCCGAAAUGAGAAUAGGUAAGAAAUCUACUCUCACUAGAAAAUUGCAGUACUGCAUAUCAAUACAGUACUCAAUGAGUACAGUAGUACAGUAUUGCCUGUGGACUGUUCUGUAGGACUGUAAAAAAUAAAGUAUGUUUCAAGUAUUUGGGAAAUGUAUUCCUACUUUGUAUUUACAGUAUUUACUAUUUGUUUGGCAGAACUGAAAGAUUACCAACACAAGGUGGUCAGGAACGUGUUCUGUCUCCUGAACAGGAAACUGAAAUCAUGAACAUGGUCCUAGAAAAUAACGCCAUAACAUUAUGGCAAAUACAAAAGAAAAAUAAUAGAAAACAAUGAGAUAUAUUUCAAAAUAUUGAUAGGGUAAGCUUAUCAACACUGGACCGUGUCUUGCGCAGAAAUAAUCUCAGGACGAAGCAGGUCUACAGGGUGCCAUUUCAACGCAAUUCAGAAAGAGUCAAAGAAUUGCGAUAUAACUAUGUACAAGUGAGUCCUAUACAAUCCCACAAUUGAUGCAUACUCUCAACACUGUAUAAAUUAUACAUAUUUCAGUGUUGUAAUCAUAAUGAUUGUGUUUCACAAUAGUGACCACUCCAUGUCUAUUUCUGAUAUUGUCAUGUGUGUUUCAGAGAGUCCUUGAGUUAGAGGUGGCUGCAGUGGAGCACCAGUUCAUCUUCAUUGAUGAGGUUGGAUUCAACCUCACAAAAAAAAAAGACGAAAGAGGGGAAGGAAUAUCAUCGGCCAGCGUUUCCAUUGUUCAAGUCCCUGGCCAGCGCGGAGGGAACAUCACAAUGUGUGCAGCGAUUACCCACCACGGCGUCAUCCAUCACCAUGCUACCCUUGGCCCCUACAACACCGCCCAUCUGAUCACAUUCCUGGACACCCUACACAACACACUCAUUCCACCAGAUCAGGUAGAUGGCCCAGAGCAGCUCAGGUACGUUGUCAUUUGGGACAAGGUAAGUUUCCACAGGGCUGCUCUGGUUCGUAACUGGUUCACUGCCCAGCCACGCUCUUUAGUUGUUGAUCUCCCUCCAUAUUCUCCAUUCCUACAUCCUAUAGAGGAAUUGUUUUCUGCCUGGAGAUGGAAAGUGUAUGACCGAAAUCCACAAACGCUUAUACCUCUUCUCCAAGCUAUGAAAGACGCAUGUGGAGAUAUAGCAGCUGAUGCUUUUCAUGGCUGGAAUCGCCAUGCUAGGCCAUAUUUCCCCCCGCUACUUGGCCAGGGAAAACAUUGCUUGUGAUGUGGAUGAGGUGCUGUGGCCAGACCGCAACAGAACAGAGGAUGCAGAAUAGUUUUUUUUUCAUUUUUAUUUUUUUACUGUAACUGUAUACAUUAAAUUCUUCUGUUUUGUAUGUAGACCACUGUAUGUGCAACUUUGUGUUGGUUGGGAAUGGGAUGUACAUUGUUUUUGUGGGAAAAAUAAAGUAUAUUUGUUACCGUGUAUUUGUGUGUUCUGAGUAUAAAAACAAUAUUCUCAAAUAUUUUACAACACACUUAUGUAUGUACUGUCUGUAGUGAUGGCAACACUGAACCAAAAAAAGGCCUAAGUCACUAUGAUGAAGUGUUUUCCAUUCAUCAUAGUGUUUUACAUUGAGCACAUCAGUGGUUCUUAUAAAUGUCUAUUCAUAUGAUGGUUUGUGUGUGUCAUUUGAAAACAAAAUACAAUUUUGAUAAGAAAUAACAUUGUUUUGAAUGUAAAGUUUCAUUUUGCUGGAGAAUUGAGGGGUUUUACCCAUUGUGUGUGUGUUUUUUGAUUUUUGUGUAGAGUUCAGAGAAUAUGAUGCAUGCUUUCAGAAAAUGUGUGUAAACAAUCGAGAAAAACUAAUACUUUAGUUUAAAAUAAAGGUUUUAUAAAAACUGUACACUCUCUCUCCCUCUCUUUCUCAUUCUCUCGCUGUCCCUCUCUCUCUCUCUCUUUCUCUACUCUCUCCCUCUUUCUCCCUGUCUUUCUCUCUCUCCCUCUCUUUCUCUCUCUAAGAUAUGAUGCACUACCAGCUCAUCCAAUAAGAGUAUGAUUUUAACAGUACAUGUCUUUCCUUUUUUAUUAUUUGUUUAUUCCACCUUUAUUUAACCAGGUAGGAUAGUUGAGAACAAGUCCUUUAUUCAACCAGGUAGGAUAGUUGAGAACAAGUCCUUU
rnacentral:lncRNA from 1 species